rnacentral:rRNA from 1 species
UACAGAGGGUGCGAGCGUUGUUCGGAAUUAUUGGGCGUAAAGCGCUUGUAGGCGGCACGUCAAGUCGCGUGUGAAAUCCCCAGGCUUAACCUGGGAAGUGCGCGCGAAACUGACGAGCUUGAGUGCCGGAGAGGGUCGCGGAAUUCCCGGUGUAGAGGUGAAAUGCGUAGAUAUCAGGAGGAACACCUGUGGUGUAGACGGCUUUCUGGACCAUAGCUGACGCUGAGACACGAAAGCGUGGGUAGCAAACAGG